GGACGCAAGUCUGAUGGAGCAACGCCGCGUGAGUGAAGAAGGCUUUCGGGUCGUAAAACUCUGUUGUUGGAGAAGAAUGGUCGGCAGAGUAACUGUUGUCGGCGUGACGGUAUCCAACCAGAAAGCCACGGCUAACUACGUGCCAGCAGCCGCGGUAAUACGUAGGUGGCAAGCGUUAUCCGGAUUUAUUGGGCGUAAAGCGAGCGCAGGCGGUUUUUUAAGUCUGAUGUGAAAGCCCUCGGCUUAACCGAGGAAGUGCAUCGGAAACUGGAAAACUUGAGUGCAGAAGAGGACAGUGGAACUCCAUGUGUAGCGGUGAAAUGCGUAGAUAUAUGGAAGAACACC
rnacentral:rRNA from 1 species